rnacentral:rRNA from 1 species
GAUAAGAUUUCCCACCGUAAGGGUAAGACCCCAGGAAGACUACCUGGUUGAUAGGUCGGAGGUGGAAGUGCAGUAAUGUAUGUAGCUUACCGAUACUAAUAGGUCGAGGACUUGACCAAAC